UACGUAGGAGGCGAGCGUUGUCCGGAAUUACUGGGCGUAAAGCGCGCGUAGGCGGCGCGACGCGACCGGUGUGAAAGCCCCCGGCUCAACUGGGGAGGGUCAUCGGUAACGGUCGUGCUGUGAGUGCAGGAGAGGGAUGUGGAACUCCGGGAGUAGCGGUGAAAUGCGUAGAGACCCGGAGGAACACCAGUGGCGAAGGCGGCCAUCUGGAUCAACACUGACGCUGAGGCACGAAAGCGUGGGGAGCAAACAGG
rnacentral:rRNA from 1 species